rnacentral:rRNA from 1 species
AUUGAACGCUGGCGGCAGGCCUAACACAUGCAAGUCGAACGAGUGGCGGACUGGAGAGUAAUGUCUGGGAAACUGCCUGAUGGUGGGGGAUAACUACUGGAAACGGUAGCUAAUACCGCAUACCAUCAGAUGUGCCCAGAUGGGAUUAGCUAGUUGGUGGGGUAACGGCGCACCAAGGCGACGAUCCCUAGCUGGUCUGAGAGGAUGACCAGCCACACUGUAACUGAGUCACGGACCAGAAUCCUACGGUAGGCAGCAGUGGUGAAUAUUGCACAAUGGGCGCAAGCCUGAUUCAGCAAUGCCGCGUGUAUGAAGAAGGCUUUCGGGUUGUAAAGUACUUUCAGCGGGGAAGCGUUACCCGCAGAAGAAGCACCGGCUAACUCCGUGCCAGCAGCCGCGGUAAUAC